UAUUGGACAAUGGGCGCAAGCCUGAUCCAGCCAUGCCGCGUGAGUGAUGAAGGCCUUAGGGUUGUAAAGCUCUUUUGUCCGGGAAGAUAAUGACCGUACCGGAAGAAUAAGCUCCGGCUAACUUCGUGCCAGCAGCCGCGGUAAUACGAAGGGCGCUAGCGUUGUUCGGAAUUACUGGGCGUGAAGCGCAUGCAGGCGGAUCGUUAAGUCGAGGGUGAAAUCCCAGGGCUCAACCCUGGAACUGCCUUCGAUACUGGCGACCUUGAGUCCGGAAGAGGUGAGUGGAACUCCGAGUGUAGAGGUGAAAUUCGUAGAUAUUCGGAAGAACACCAGUGGCGAAGGCGGCUCACUGGCCCGGUACUGACGCUGAGAUGCGAAAGCGUGGGGAGCAAACA
rnacentral:rRNA from 1 species